rnacentral:rRNA from 1 species
UACAGAGGGUGCAAGCGUUGUUCGGAAUUAUUGGGCGUAAAGCGCGUGUAGGCGGCUUGGCAAGUCGGGUGUGAAAUCCCUCAGCUUAACUGAGGAAGUGCGCCCGAAACUGCUUUGCUUGAGUACCGGAGAGGAUGGCGGAAUGCCCCAAGUAGAGGUGAAAUUCGUAGAUAUGGGGCGGAACACCGGUGGCGAAGGCGGCCAUCUGGACGGAUACUGACGCUGAGACGCGAAAGCAUGGGGAGCAAACAGGAUUAGAAACCCCCGUAGUCC